rnacentral:rRNA from 1 species
CCCGGCCGACAAGACGGUGGAGGCAUGUGGUUAAUUCGAAGCAACGCGAAGAACUUACCAGGCCUUGACAUGCAGAGAACUUUCCAGAGAUGGAUUGGUGCCUUCGGGAACUCUGACACAGGUGCUGCAUGGCUGUCGUCAGCUCGUGUCGUGAGGUGUUGGGGUUAAGUCCCGUAACGAGCGCAACCCUUGUCCUUAGUUACCAGCACGUUAUGGUGGGCACUCUAAGGAGACUGCCGGUGACAAACCGGAGGAAGGUGGGGAUGACGUCAAGUCAUCAUGGCCCUUACGGCCUGGGCUACACACGUGCUACAAUGGUCGGUACAAAGGGUUGCCAAGCCGCGAGGUGGAGCUAAUCCCAUAAAACCGAUCGUAGUCCGGAUCGCAGUCUGCAACUCGACUGCGUGAAGUCGGAAUCGCUAGUAAUCGCGGAUCAGCCAAGCCGCGGUGAAUACGUUCCCGGGCCAU